AUACGGAGGGUCCGAGCGUUAAUCGGAAUUACUGGGCGUAAAGCGCGCGUAGGUGGUUCAGUCAGUCAGAUGUGAAAGACCCGGGCUCCACCUGGGAACUGCACCUGAUACUGAUGAGCUAGAGUACGGUAGAGGGCAGUGGAAUUUCCGGUGUAGCGGUGAAAUGCGUAGAGAUCGGAAGGAACACCAGUGGCGAAGGCGACUGCCUGGACUGAUACUGACACUGAGGUGCGAAAGCGUGGGUAGCAAACAGGAUUAGAUACCCUGGUAGUCCACGCCGUAAACGAUGUCAACUAGCCGUUGGGGGACUUGAUCCUUUAGUGGCGAAGCUAACGCGAUAAGUUGACCGCCUGGGGAGUACGGCCGCAAGGUUAAAACUCAAAUGAAUUGGCGGGG
rnacentral:rRNA from 1 species